AGUGAACGCUGGCGGUAGGCCUAACACAUGCAAGUCGAACGGCAGCACAGUAAGAGCUUGCUCUUACGGGUGGCGAGUGGCGGACGGGUGAGGAAUACAUCGGAAUCUACUUUUUCGUGGGGGAUAACGUAGGGAAACUUACGCUAAUACCGCAUACGACCUACGGGUGAAAGCAGGGGAUCUUCGGACCUUGCGCGAUUGAAUGAGCCGAUGUCGGAUUAGCUAGUUGGCGGGGUAAAGGCCCACCAAGGCGACGAUCCGUAGCUGGUCUGAGAGGAUGAUCAGCCACACUGGAACUGGGACACGGGCCCGACUCCUACGGGAGGCAGCCGUGGGGAAUAUUGGACAAUGGGCGCAAGCCUGAUCCAGCCCUACCGCGUGGGUGAAGAAGGCCUUCGGGUUUUAAAGCCCUUUUGUUGGGAAAGAAAAGCAGCAGGUUAAUACCCCGCUGUUCUGACGGUACCCAAAGAAUAAGCACCGGCUAACUUCGUG
rnacentral:rRNA from 1 species